ACGCGCACACCGAGGCGGUCCCGGGCCAGGCAGGGCUCCGGGCACCUCCAAGGCCUUCUCACGGCUGGACCCGGCAGGGUCUCCACGGGGUCAAGUGUGGGCCUUUGAUGUUUAUGGCAAAACCACCUGCGUCUUGAGCCGCCAUGUGGCUGCCAGACUGCGGAGCGGCUGGCGAUGACUCAGAAAUUCCGGGCGGGUCCUCUAAUGGCUGGAGCGCUGGCUUUCGACCACACGGUAAUAACUUGGCCGCCUGCUCCAUCUCUUAAUAUUAAAACGUGAGAUCGCUCAUAUAUUCAUGUCUGUGCUUUGUAAACCCGAUAUUACACAUGACCGAUACCAAAAUAGCUCCAAGUGUAUGUAUUUCAAAGGAAAUGGAGUCCUCGGGCCGCAGCGAACUUAAAAGGCGCCGGAGGAAAGGGUAGGACGCGCCGUUGUUACUGCAAGUUCGAAGAAAUGCUGGGGCCUUUAAGAGAUGAAGUUCGUUCUGUCGAAAACGUUUAAAUGUUAUGUAGAACCCCCAGAGCGUUUCUGCGUUUGGACUAAUGAUCUGCUCAGAGUUCUGACAGUCAUCCCGUUUCUCCCCCUAAGAUUCUAUAGUCCAUCAUCGGACGUGCUGUGAUCCUCCCUGGUUCUAGAAUUCCCACCUCCUUUAGUCCUAAAGCUUCCUGAAGCCACAAUGCCAUUCUGGCCCUCUGCCCUCUGCCCUCUGCCCUCUGGAAGCCUCUGCGGGUGCCCAGCGUGAGCUCACUGUCCGAGCUCACCGUCUAGCUCCUAAAUGCUCGGCCGCCUUGUCUCAGACGAGCCUCGUAGGAGAGAACUGGGUCUCAGGAUCCUGCAACCGAGGUGUGUGUCCUUCACCGGAAUCAAACCCAGGACCCUUCGGAUCCACGGAGACAAACCGGCUCAUUUUAUCGCCACCUCCGCCUUUCAUUGGCCUGGGGCCUCCGUUUCCCUGACCCACUCCUUCUCCCCGGGCUUCGAAGGGCACGCACCACAUGAGCCGGGGCUCCUUCUGCGCGUCCUGUCGAUUCAUCAGGUAAACUCCAGAUACCUGCUCCCCGUCCGGGCUUCUGCCUGGCCCACCUCUGGUUUAUCUUCCCCCUGUAUCGCCCCUUCUUCAAAACUCAGCUCCACCCCCAGCUGCUCUCACCUAAAGCACGUGGAGCUGAGCACCUGGGACCAUCUUACCUGGACCCGGAGCGCUCUGUGCAGACACCACCUCCAGGGAAGACCUGCGGGGCCGGUGAUGCUCGUCCAGAUUUUCAGAACUCAGGGGCGGGGCAGACACCUCUGGGGAGAGGAGAGGGGAGACCUGCCUGCAGGUGCACCCCGCACAGGAGCAGUGGUGCAGCUCUCGCUGAUUCCGGCCGACCUUGAACUACGUGAACAAUGAGAUCGACUGCACUUGGUUUGCAGGUUUCCAGACAAAGAUUCGCCUGGGGGGGAGGAGAGGACCCUGCACUAUCUCUCUGGUUCACCUCCCCUCCGUCGGGCACUUUCUACCCAGGAGUCAGCCAGUCCAUGUUUGGGCCUCCCUCCUGGCUGGUGGACCCCGUGGGCUCUGAGCUGUCCAUGCUGCUUUCCGGGGGGGGGGGGGGGGGGGGGGGGGGGCAGUCCUUGCAAAAUUUGAGCAUCUCCCCGUGUCUCCAGGCAGGUGCCUAAAGAUGGUCACCUGUAACGUAAGCAGGUUGUGUAUUUAAUUAGCUUUGGUGUCUACUAAACACUGCAGCGCCUCUGGACAAAGGCCCCCCCCCCCCCCCCCCCGGGCCAGUCUAGGUCUCGGGGAGCUGGCAUUUGCUGGGGCUGCCCGUGAGACGAUGCUGCAAAGGACCUGCAGCCACUCGGGGCGCAUGGGCGCUGGCGUUCCUCACCGCGAGUUUCCUGCUCGUGAGAUGAGACCAGCACCAAGUCAUGCGGGGUGCGACCCACAGAUGACUCGUGGAGGCAUCUUACGUUUCCAUCACCUUGUAAACUCAUGGCUCCCAACUUGGCUGCGUGUUCGAAUCGCCCAGGAGAUUUUCAAAGGCUUAGCACCCUGCUGCAGGCCCCACUGCGUCAGUGUUUCUGGAGGCGGAUGCUGGUGUCAGUAUUGUUCUAACACGCCCUCCAGUUUUGAUGCAACUCUAGCUUGUUAUCACCAGCGAUGAAAAGCGGGCCUCCUGGCCGAUGUGGUUCCUUCGGGCCGGGCUGGGACACGGGAUCCUCUGGGCAGAGGCAGGCACGGACAAAUGGUCCCUCCCUCCUCUCAGCACCUAGGACCUGUGCAUGGGUCCGGGACUGCGCUGCAACUCGGAAAGACGGAGAGGACUGAUCUGGUGGGCGGAAAAGCUGCUGAGCUAUGGAGACGUGUCCUGGGUUCCACCCCUCACAGCUGCGUUUAUCGACAGAGAUCCGCAUCUACUGCACAAGCGUCAUGGAUGUCAGUUCUGGGCCCCAGGUGGCCAUGUUGGAAGGUCUUGGCGCUACCUGGUCGACUGAAGAUCACUGGAGUAUUAUAUCAUCACCACAAGAGUAGAAUCCAUAGAGCUAAAGUGUGGUGUGCCUGUGCUGGUGGCAAUGUUUUCAAGGUGUGUGUGUAUAUAUAUAUAUUUUUUGCUAGCAGCUUCACACUUUGCAUAGGGUGCUUUGCCCAGACAGAGAGGGGGUGCCCUAACUAUUUGCUGAAGGAAAAGAGGGGCAUGUGUUUCUCCACAAUUUCCCAAUAAUUUGUCCUCUGUUUGAGAGGUAGGCAGUUGUCAGUGAAUGGACCGGAUUGACACAAUCAUAAUUUUCUAUUUGGAGGUAAACACACAGCAACGGAGUGACCCCUGAGGGUAAGCAUCCAAGGCCACAGCGUGCUGUGCCCUGUGUGAGAAAGGCCAAGAAUCGCUGCGAUACACGGUAUCAUUGGCUACAUGUGAACGAUGCUGAUUUUGCACCAAAAAAGAGCUUUCUCUGAAAUUUUCUUGCUUAUCUUAGAGCCACACUAAGAAUUAUAUAUUAAAGGGUGAAAAUAA